UACGUAGGGGGCGAGCGUUACCCGGAAUCACUGGGCGUAAAGGGAGCGUAGGUGGCCUAACAUGUCAACUGUGAAAACCCGGAGCUCAACUCCGGACUUGCAGUUGAAACUGGUAGGCUUGAGGACGGUAGAGGAAGACGGAACUGCCAGUGUAGGGGUAAAAUCCUUAGAUAUUGGGAAGAACACCGGUGGCGAAGGCGACUUGCUGGGCAGCAACUGACGCUGAGGCGCGAAAGCCAGGGGAGCAAACGGG
rnacentral:rRNA from 1 species